AUAUCCAUAAGGCGAGGAACAGAAACCAACAGGGAUUCCCCCAGUAACGGCGAGUGAAGUGGGAAGAGCUCAACUUUAAAAUCUGGGAGGAAUUUCCUCUCCGAAUUGUAGUUUAUAGAGGCGUUAUCUGGUCUAAUCAUUGUGCACAAGUCCUUUGGAAUAAGGCGUCACAGAGGGUGAGAACCCCGUUUGGGCACGGUCGGUUAGAUCUACAUGAGGCGUCUCUGAGAGUCGAGUUGUUUGGGAAUGCAGCUCAAAAUGGGUGGUAAAUUUCAUCUAAAGCUAAAUAUUGGCGAGAGACCGAUAGCGCACAAGUA
rnacentral:rRNA from 1 species